CGAGUGGGCAGUAUCAGGAGCGCCGCACAGUGAGUUUCCAGCUGAGCUAUUCUCACCGAAUCUCGCUCUGUUCUCACAGCACCCCUCUGUCAGGCCUGUCUCAUAGUGACUGCCCACCAGGACUGACUACAAAAGACUUGACCCUAAAAUAGUCUUGAAGGGAUUUUUCUCAAAAAAUUAAGGCGGGAACACAAGACAAAGCUGUCAGCCUAGUCACAAAUCUGAAGACUCAACUGCAUUAAAAAUAGUGCAAAAUCGGCAGGAGCUGUACAGUG
rnacentral:lncRNA from 1 species